CCUGGCGGUGAUGACACACUUGCCCUCACUGAGAGCUUGUCUCCAUUAUGAGAACCUCUUUGUACUCAAUUUAUCUGAGCCAGG